UGGUGGGGUGACUUGUUUGCUUAAUUGCGAUAACGAACGAGACCUUAACCUGCUAAAUAGCCCGCAUUGCUCCGGCAGUGCGCUGGCUUCUUAGAGGGACUUUCGGCUCAAGCCGAAGGAAGUUUGAGGCAAUAACA
rnacentral:rRNA from 1 species